UAAUUACACUUAAAUAAACUACCCUCCGAAUUUGACUCAAUUUAUUUCUUAUUUUUCCUUUGCAGCCAGAGCUGAUGUUUACAGGAAUCAGGGUAAUGAGGCCUUCAAGAAAGGAUAUUUCCUCGAUGCUAUUCACUUUUAAACAGAAGGAAUUAAAGUGAACUGCAAUGAGAAAGAACUGAAGGCCAAACUGUACAACAACAGGGCAACUGCACAUUUUAAACUUGGAAAUCACCAGGAUAUACACAUGCAGGGAUGUAAAAGGCUGCCGCUGAUCGAGUUACAACCAACUUAUCUCAAAGCAAUUGCUAGAGGAGCAAAAAUUGCCUGUGUUGAACUGAAUAAAUUUGAAGAUGCAAUCACUUAGUGUGAUAAGACAUUUGCUAUAUCCUUUAAGGAAUCCUUAUUUUUCUAGCCAUGGGUAAUUAUAUAAUGCAAAUAGUCAAUAACUUGACAUUUUGUAGGUCUGGAGAAAAUAUGAAGAAGGGUAUCAAUUUACUUGAGUACUUUUUAACUCAUACUUAAAGUGUAUUAAGUAAUUAAAAAGAAAGUGGGAAAAGUUUAUACCUCGUGACUUACUAAUGAUAUAUUAUUAUACUCCUUUUAGUAAUACCUUAGAGGUCUAAAUAUGUAUGCAGUAAUUAAAUGAUAAUAAGAUAAAUAACAGUUUAUGUUCACGGUACAACAGAAUUAUGUAAAUAUAUUCCAAGAGCAAUUAGUUUCUAAUAUUUGUAAGACUUACCUCUUAUGUGUUAUUUUAAAAGUGUUGAUGAGAUUCGGGGAAAGUGAGAAGUAACAAGGUAGUAUAGCUUAUUGG